CUCCCUCUUCCACCCCCUCGCCAGCCCAAUGGCAGCUGCGCCGGCGCCGCCCCCGCCGGCGGUCGCCGCCACCUUCUCGGCCCUCCUACACCGCCACGCCUUCCGUAGCUACAGACCCCGACCCUUCUACGCGAGACGCGUCGCCUCCAACGCGAGAGCCGAGGCGGCGGAGCCGGAGAGCCGGGGUGGACGCCUCGGCGGGACCCGCCUGGAGGAGGCCGUGCCCGCCGGGGAGGGGCGCUCGCGGAUCGACGCCUGGAUAUCGGCGCGGUUGGGCGGCGGGGGCGUGAGCCGUGCGCGCGUGCAGGCCAGCAUCCGCGCGGGACUCGUCGCCGUCAAUGGCCGCCCGGUCUCCAAGGUUUCACAUAUGGUGAAGGGUGGGGAUCUGGUCAGUUGCACGGUGUCGGAGCUACAGCCACUGAGGGCAGAGGCGGAGGACAUCCCGCUAGACAUUGUUUACGAAGAUGACCAUGUUCUUGUUGUGAACAAACCAGCUCAUAUGGUUGUUCACCCUGCGCCAGGAAAUGCAAAUGGCACCUUGGUCAAUGCUAUACUUCACCACUGCAGGAUUUCCACGUUUACAUGUUUAGCGCGCAAUUCAACUGGUGAUGAUUACCCAGAUUCUUCAGAUGACGAUGUUGAUGUAUUUGAUGUUGAUCAAUUUACUACGGAAGUUGUUAGUUCGGAAGUGCGGGAUGCUCUUGUGCGCCCUGGCAUUGUGCACAGGCUUGAUAAGGGGACAAGUGGACUUCUUGUUGUUGCUAAGGAUGAGCAUUCUCAUGCUCAAUUGGCCGAACAGUUCAAGCUGCACACAAUUCGUAGGGUGUACAUCAGUCUUACUUGUGGCGUACCUCAUCCAAAUUCUGGCAGGAUUGAAGCAUCUAUUGCACGUGAUCCUAACAAUAGGAUUCGUAUGGUUGCUAUUGCUGGAUCAGGCCACAGAUAUGCACGCAAUGCUGCUAGUUAUGCACAAAAUUCACUGCAUCCAGACUGUUUCAACUUCUUAAUUAUGACCUGGAAGUGCCCAGGUCAAAAUAGUCAGGUACAAAGUAAGAGAGGUCUUUGCUGGUGGUGGAUCCGCACUAGUAGAGUGGAGACUGGAGACAGGGCGCACUCACCAGGUAAUCCGUGCGCAUGCGAAGUAUCUAGGGAUCCCACUUCUUGGUGAUGAAACGUAUGGCGGUACCAAAAGCAUGGCACUGUCACUUUUGAGACCAAGAACCCCUUCAAAAUAUCACAGUGCGCUUUCGGAUCUGAUAUCUAAAGUAGACAGGCCAUGCCUUCAUGCUGCAUUGCUUGGAUUCAAGCAUCCACAUUCAGGAAAGAUCCUUGAAUUCUCAUGCCCCCCACCUGAUGAUUUUACUGAGGUACUUGGUGAAUUGCGACGUGUAACAUCUGGUGACUAAAAUGGUGAUGGUGUUGUGCGAUGACAACUCUGUCCCAACGCGAGCUGGGAGCAAUGUUUAGCCUGUAAUAUGUCCUGUCUAAGGUCUGCUUUAUCAGAUCUGUGUCUGUGGUGAGGCUGACAGGCUGUCACUGACUGAUUCAGCGGUUAAACUGCAGAAGCAGAAGUCAACAAGCUUUUGAACUCCUCCAUGGGGGCGAUGAAAGAAACUCUGGGGAUGUUCAACAAAAGCAUGGAAAUCUUGAACGUUUCUUUUUUUUGAAGACCUAGAAAUAGGGUUUUAGCUCUCUAUAUGUAUUGUUUAUUUAAUUUAUUUAUUUUUUUGCUGUGGCGGAUGGUGGUAUGUAUUGUUUAUUUAAUUUUCUUUUUUUUUUUUGCUGUGGUGGAUGGUGGCAGCCAAGGAUUAUAUAACUUCUGAAACAUUUAGCUGUGCGAUCCUGUGUAAUCUGUAGCUACCCGUUGCUCACCUUGAUUGAUUUCCAUUAUGAAAAUUGUACAAAGAAAAUAGUUACAGAUUUGCGGAGUGGAUUGAA